rnacentral:misc_RNA from 1 species
AUUUAUUUCCCCUGCUUAAGGAAUGGAAUUCCAAAGGCGGUCGCGUUACUGAUUGCUUUCCUUGUAUCUGCUGUUUUCCAUGAGCUGUGUAUUGCUGUUCCUUGUCGCCUUUUCAAGUUUUGGGCAUUCAUUGGAAUUAUGUUCCAGGUUCCUUUGGUCAUUCUCACAAACUUCUUACAAAAUCAGUUCCAAAGCUCGAUGGUUGGCAAUAUGAUGUUCUGGUGCUUUUUCUGCAUUCUUGGUCAG